AUGCUGCCCUCCCCACCACUUUCUGUCGCCCGCCGCGCCGCCACGGCCGCCGCCCGCCACCUCCUCCCCUCCAUCACCUCGCUCAUCCUCGACCCGCCCGCCCCCAGCCCUGCCGUCUCCCGCCGUCGCGUCCGCCUAAUGCCGCUGCGGAACAGCGCCCCGCUCGUCUCCCCGCCGCCGCACGGGAGGAGCUUCGCGGUGGCCGCGGGGGAUGGAGGCGCAGAAGGCGAGGCUCCGGCGCUGGUGGUGGUCUCGUUCUACAGGUUCGCCGACUUCCCCGACCACGCCGACCUGCGGCGGCCGCUCAAGGAGCUCUGCGAGGAGCUGCGUGUUUCAGGUGGCAUUAUUCUUGCACCAGAGGGAAUCAAUGGUAGUUUAUGUGGAACACCAGAAGCUGUGGAGAAAGUUUUGAACUUUAUUCAAACAGACAAUCGGUUAAAAGGAUUGAGGGUGAUCCAGACACCUGUUACUCCAGAGGACGAGGCUAUCCAUCAUGGACAUACCAGCCAUUCUCCUGUUGGUCCUGGAGAAGAUGCACCAUUCCGAUGGGAUCAUGUCCGUGUGAAAUUGAAAAAGGAGAUAGUGAGUUUUGGAGACCCUGGUGUGAUGCCAACUAAAAGGGUUGGCAAGUAUAUAAAGCCAAAAGAUUGGAAUUCGUUGAUAAGCGAUCCAGACACCGUUGUCAUUGAUGUGCGUAACAUGUAUGAGAUACGCAUAGGAAAAUUCAAGAGGGCUGUUGAUCCAUGCACGGAAUCAUUUAGAGAAUUCCCAUCUUGGGUUGAUAAUCAAUUCCAGUUGGCUGAAUCUGAUAGUCACCAGUCAUCAGUAAAUGAUAACACUGUAACUGAGGGAGCAGAAGAUCUGAAUUCCAGUGGACCCAAAGAGCUACCACGAGUUGCUAUGUAUUGCACUGGUGGUAUUAGAUGUGAGAAGGCAUCGAGCUUUCUCCUUGACAAGGGAUUUAAAGAGGUUUACCAUCUGGAGGGUGGGAUAUUAAAGUACCUAGAGGAAAUCCCGGAAGCUGAAAGCUUGUGGGAAGGUGAAUGCUUCGUGUUUGACAAGCGUGUUUCAGUGGAGCACGGGUUAGCUCAAGGAACCCACAAACUUUGCUAUGGAUGUAAACAACCAGUUAGUGACGAAGACAUGGAAUCUCCUAAAUGGGAGUAUGGUGUAUCAUGCCCAUACUGCUUCUCCAGGAGAUCUGAGGAGGAGAAGGAAAGGGCAAGGGCUCGGCACCGGCAGUUUAAGACAUGGGGAGUUAUUGGUGGUCCUGAUAAAGGCAGGAGUCCAAAAAGGCUCGAAGCUAGCGAUGGAGUUAAGGAGGACAAACAGCCGCGCAACUCAGUGUGA
rnacentral:rRNA from 1 species